GUGAACGUAGCUCAAUCUGGUAGAGCAUCAGCCUGUGGAGCUGACUGUUGGGGGUUCAAAUCCCCUCGUUCACC
rnacentral:tRNA from 1 species